rnacentral:rRNA from 1 species
GCAAGUCGAGCGAACAGAAGGGAGCUUGCUCCCGGAUGUUAGCGGCGGACGGGUGAGUAACACGUGGGUAACCUGCCUGUAAGACUGGGAUAACUCCGGGAAACCGGAGCUAAUACCGGAUAGUUCCUUGAACCGCAUGGUUCAAGGAUGAAAGACGGUUUCGGCUGUCACUUACAGAUGGACCCGCGGCGCAUUAGCUAGUUGGUGGGGUAAUGGCUCACCAAGGCGACGAUGCGUAGCCGACCUGAGAGGGUGAUCGGCCACACUGGGACUGAGACACGGCCCAGACUCCUACGGGAGGCAGCAGUAGGGAAUCUUCCGCAAUGGACGAAAGUCUGACGGAGCAACGCCGCGUGAGUGAUGAAGGUUUUCGGAUCGUAAAGCUCUGUUGUUAGGGAAGAACAAGUGCGAGAGUAACUGCUCGCACCUUGACGGUACCUAACCAGAAAGCCACGGCUAACUACGUGCCAGCAGCCGCGGUAAUACGUAGGUGGCAAGCGUUGUCCGGAAUUAUUGGGCGUAAAGGGCUCGCAGGCGGUUUCUUAAGUCUGAUGUGAAAGCCCCCGGCUCAACCGGGGAGGGUCAUUGGAAACUGGGAAACUUGAGUGCAGAAGAGGAGAGUGGAAUUCCACGUGUAGCGGUGAAAUGCGUAGAGAUGUGGAGGAACACCAGUGGCGAAGGCGACUCUCUGGUCUGUAACUGACGCUGAGGAGCGAAAGCGUGGGGAGCGAACAGGAUUAGAUACCCUGGUAGUCCACGCCGUAAACGAUGAGUGCUAAGUGUUAGGGGGUUUCCGCCCCUUAGUGCUGCAGCUAACGCAUUAAGCACUCCGCCUGGGGAGUACGGUCGCAAGACUGAAACUCAAAGGAAUUGACGGGGGCCCGCACAAGCGGUGGAGCAUGUGGUUUAAUUCGAAGCAACGCGAAGAACCUUACCAGGUCUUGACAUCCUCUGACAACCCUAGAGAUAGGGCUUUCCCUUCGGGGACAGAGUGACAGGUGGUGCAUGGUUGUCGUCAGCUCGUGUCGUGAGAUGUUGGGUUAAGUCCCGCAACGAGCGCAACCCUUGAUCUUAGUUGCCAGCAUUUAGUUGGG